UCUCCGUUGGUGAACCAGCGGAGGGAUCAUUACCGAGUUUACAACUCCCAAACCCUUUGUGAACAUACCUAUCGUUGCUUCGGCGGGAUCGCCCCGGGCGCCCAGCGCUCCGGAACCAGGCCCCCGCCGCAAGACCCAAAACUCUGUUUUUACUCCAGUGGUUUCUUCUGAGUGGCUUAUAAAGCAAAAAAUAAAUUAAAACUUUCAACAACGGAUCUCUUGGCUCUGGCAUCGAUGAAGAACGCAGC
rnacentral:misc_RNA from 1 species